rnacentral:misc_RNA from 1 species
UUACGGAACAAUUCCUUCAUUCCCCCACCAGCUGAACUAGGAUAGUAAAUCAUUAUUCUGUGGUCAUCAGCAUUGACAGGCUUUUCCACAAAAGGUUUCCAAAAGCGAUUCCCAUGAACUUCAACAAAGUCAUCGUCUUCAACAAAAUAAUCCAAAUGUUGGUUAGGUACUUCUCUGUGAACACAGGCAUACCUUGGCACAGGGAUUCCAAACAUCUCAAGACGCUAAAUUUCCCCAAUCAAAACAGAAAGGAAGAUAUUAGUAUAAUUUAUAGAAGGUUAAUCUAAACAAAUGCACCCCCCCACACACAG